rnacentral:rRNA from 1 species
UGGGGAAUUUUGCACAAUGGGGGAAACCCUGAUGCAGCGACGCCGCGUGAUUUAGAAGGCCUUCGGGUUGUAAAAAUCUUUUUUACGGGAUGAAAAUGACAGUACCGUAAGAAUAGGUCCGGCUAAAUACGUGCCAGCAGCCGCGGUAAUACGUAUGGACCGAGCGUUGUCCGGAAUCAUUGGGCGUAAAGGGUACGUAGGCGGCCUAGUAAGUUAGAAGUGAAAUAAUAUAGCUCAACUAUAUAAAGCUUUUAAAACUGCUAGGCUUGAGAGAUGGAAGGGAAAGUGGAAUUCCUAGUGUAGCGGUGAAAUGCGCAGAUAUUAGGAAGAAUACCGGUGGCGAAGGCGACUUUCUGGUCAUCAUCUGACGCUGAGGUACGAAAGCGUGGGUAGCAAACAGG